rnacentral:rRNA from 1 species
GUAGGUGGCAAGCGUUGUCCGGAAUUAUUGGGCGUAAAGCGCGCGCAGGCGGUCCUUUAAGUCUGAUGUGAAAGCCCACGGCUCAACCGUGGAGGGUCAUUGGAAACUGGGGGACUUGAGUACAGAAGAGGAAAGCGGAAUUCCAAGUGUAGCGGUGAAAUGCGUAGAGAUUUGGAGGAACACCAGUGGCGAAGGCGGCUUUCUGGUCUGUAACUGACGCUGAGGCGCGAAAGCGUGGGGAGCAAACAGGAUUAGAUACACUGGUAGUCCACGCCGUAAACGAUGAGUGCUAAGUGUUAGGGGGUUUCCCGCCCCUUAGUGCUGCAGCUAACGCAUUAAGCACUCCGCCUGGGGAGUACGGCCGCAAGGCUG